rnacentral:lncRNA from 1 species
AUCAUUUUAGACAUUAGUAUUAUUGGUGUACAUGAGAGAAGCCCUCAUGAGCCUUGAUUCUAUAUUUUCAGGUAGACAAUCAUGUUGAUGUACAUUUGGACAACAGUAGCAGUCUAAGGCAGAGAGCAGUAAGAAAGGCUCGGUCAUUCAGACAUUGAAGAAGGAAAAUAUGCAUUUGAAGACAGAAACAAAUGAGCAAAAUGAUGAAAUACAAAAGCUUCAAAAUGAAGUGAGAAAGACUACAUUUAGUGUUGGUGAAAUGGUUUGGGCGCGUUAUGAUCCUGAUGAUCAAGCCUACCCAGCUAAAGUCAUUGGUAUAAAGGGAAACAAGUCAAGUACAGAGAGGAUAGUGUCAUUGUGGAUGUGAAGCUUGACGGAUUGUGGAAUUUUGUCUCCAUGAAACAGAGAUGAAGGAAGUUCAGUUAUGUUUAUCAGGCUACACUUUUGUUGUAUUUUUCUUUGUUUUUAAACAUGCACACCGAAGUGCUAACUUUAAUAAUGCCAGAUAGGUAUGAAACAGAAGAUAUGGAGUUAUUGUCCAUGAUCUUGACAAUGACAGUUUAGGUGGCAAAUAAGGUCGAUGGCCAAUGCCCAGCAAAAGUCAGUAACACCAUUAAAUUGUUGACAUGGAAUAUUGAAGGUUUCAUGUCAGAAUUGAUUAACUAUGAUAUAAAUCAUAUUUUGAAUUCUUAUGAUAUAUUUGAGUUUGCAAGAAACUUGGGAGUAAGAUUCUGACAGUCAAAAAGCUGAGUUUCCAGACUAUGCAUUAUUUUGCUGUAAAACUAUAAAAUCUGUUUCUUGGGGCCGAUCUAUUGGUGGUGUUUCAGUGUUUGUUUAAACCUGUUUACUGCCAUUUGUAAAGCAUGUGUAUAAGAUUUUAGUUUUGGUGUCAUAUUAUUGUUAGGAAAACCAUUGUUUUCACUGAAUAGUGAUGUACUUUAUUGUAUGUGUGUGUAUGUUCCUCCAGAAAACACACCAUUUUAUGAUUAUGUAUAAGUGUCUGGUUUACAAGAGCUUGAAGAGUGUAUUACAGAGUUCUCACUUUUUGUGCCACCCCCCCCCCCUCCGAAGUUCGUGACACGCCUAGCUCAAAAAGUAUUUGAUAUAAAUUGAUGAAACCUUGCAUGAGUCUUCAUCAUGAUAUGAACUUGCGCACCUCCUAUUUUUCAUCUG